GACGAACGCUGGCGGCGUGCUUAACACAUGCAAGUCGAACGGAAAGGCCCUGCUCUUGUGGGGUGCUCGAGUGGCGAACGGGUGAGUAACACGUGAGUAAACUGCCCUUGACUUUGGGAUAACUUCAGGAAACUGGGGCUAAUACCGGAUAGGAGCUCCUGCUGCAUGGUGGGGGUUGGAAAGUUUCGGCGGUUGGGGAUGGACUCGCGGCUUAUCAGCUUGUUGGUGGGGUAGUGGCUUACCAAGGCUUUGACGGGUAGCCGGCCUGAGAGGGUGACCGGCCACAUUGGGACUGCGGUACGGCCCAGACUCCUACGGGAGGCAGCAGUGGGGAAUAUUGCACAAUGGGCGGAAGCCUGAUGCAGCAACGCCGCGUUCGGGAUGACGGCCUUCGGGUUGUAAACCGCUUUCGCCUGUGACGAAGCGUGAGUGACGGUAAUGAGUCAAGAAGCACCGGCUAACUACGUG
rnacentral:rRNA from 1 species